GCAGACCAUCGGCAAACUCCGUGAGCUGAAGGACCUGGGGGUGGACCUCGCUAUCGACGACUUCGGCACGGGCUAUUGCUCCAUCGUCUACCUCGAGCAUUCCUUGUUGAAGUACUUGAAGAUCGAUCGUCUAUUCAUACAUAGGAAAAGGGAAGACGACCCAGAGGGCUGCAGGAAGGUAAUUGCCGCCAUGACCAGCAUGGCGCACUCCCUAGAUCUGGCCGUGAUCGUCGAGGGUGUCGAGACCGAAGAACAGCUGACGGAGCUAAAAGAGAUAGGGUGCGAGAUGGUCCAGGGCUACUACUUUGCCAAGCCCCU
rnacentral:misc_RNA from 1 species